UACGUAGGGUGCGAGCGUUAAUCGGAAUUACUGGGCGUAAAGCGUGCGCAGGCGGUUUUGUAAGCCAGAUGUGAAAGCCCCGGGCUCAACCUGGGAAUGGCAUUUGGGACUGCAAGGCUGGAGUUUGGCAGAGGAGACUGGAAUUCCCGGUGUAGCAGUGAAAUGCGUAGAGAUGUGGAGGAAUACCGAUGGCGAAGGCAGCCCCCUGGGAUAACACUGACGCUCAUGCACGAAAGCGUGGGGAGCAAACAGG
rnacentral:rRNA from 1 species